UCCCUCUUAGCUCAGCCGGUAGAGCGCGUCACUAGUACCUGACAUACACAAGUAUGUAGUUGUUAUGAGAUGACGAGGUCAGUCGUUCAAGUCGGCUAGAGGGAA
rnacentral:tRNA from 1 species